GACGAACGCUGGCGGCGUGCUUAAUACAUGCAAGUCGAGCGAGGUCCAUCUGGUGGCAACACCAGUGAAGGCCGAGCGGCGAACGGGUGAGUAACACGUGAGCAACCUGCCCCGAAGUCUGGAAUAACAUCGGGAAACCGGUGCUAAUACCGGAUCGCCCCACCUGACCGCAUGAUCGGGUGAGGAAAGAUUUAUCGCUUCGGGAGGGGCGUCGCGGCCUAUCAGCAGUUGGUGGGGUAACGGCCUACCAAGGCGUCGACGGGUAGCUGGUCUGAGAGGACGACCAGCCACACUGGGACUGAGACACGGCCCAGACUCCUACGGGAGGCAGCAGUAGGGAAUCUUGCGCAAUGGGC
rnacentral:rRNA from 1 species